rnacentral:rRNA from 1 species
CCUACGGGAUGCAGCAGUGGGGAAUAUUGGGCAAUGGGCGCAAGCCUGACCCAGCAACGCCGCGUGAAGGAAGAAGGCUUUCGGGUUGUAAACUUCUUUUCUGAGGGACGAAGAAAGUGACGGUACCUCAGGAAUAAGCCACGGCUAACUACGUGCCAGCAGCCGCGGUAAUACGUAGGUGGCAAGCGGUAUCAGGAUUUAUUGGGUGUAAAGGGCGUGUAGGCGGGACAGCAAGUCAGAUGUGAAAACUCAGGGCUCAACCCUGAGCCUGCAUUUGAAACUGUUUUUCUUGAGUGCUGGAGAGGCAAGCAGAAUUCCGUGUGUAGCGGGGAAAUGCGUAGAGAUACGGAGGAACACCAGUGGCGAAGGCGGAUUGCUGGACAGUAACUGACGCUGAGGCGCGAAAGCGUGGGGAGCAAACAGGAUUAGAUACCCGGGUAGUC